rnacentral:RNase_P_RNA from 1 species
UUGGCGGGACGGAUGGCCGCCGGGCGCUUUACGCGCCGGGAGGAAAGUCCGGGCUCCACAGGGCAGGGCGCUGGGUAACGCCCAGCGGAGGCGACUCCGGGCAAGCGCAACAGAGAGUAGACCGCCGCCGGGCAACCGGCGGUAAGGGUGAAAGGGUGAGGUAAGAGCUCACCGGCCGGGCGGGCAACCGUCCGGGCCAGGCAGGCCCCGUCAGGAGCAAAACCAAAUAGGGCGGCGCGAUAAGACGGCCCGUCUUGCCGCCGGGUAGGUUGCUUGAGCCGUGGAGUAAUUCACGGCCUAGAUGAAUGGUCAUCACCCCGAAAGGGGUACAGAACCCGGCUUAUAGUUCCCCAGAUUC